rnacentral:rRNA from 1 species
UACGUAGGGGGCAAGCGUUGUCCGGAAUCAUUGGGCGUAAAGAGCGUGUAGGCGGCCCGGUAAGUCCGCUGUGAAAGUCCAGGGCUCAACCCUGGGAUGCCGGUGGAUACUGUCGGGCUCGAGUCCGGAAGAGGAGUGUGGAAUUCCUGGUGUAGCGGUGAAAUGCGCAGAUAUCAGGAGGAACACCAUGGCGAAGGCAGCUCGCUGGGACGGUACUGACGCUGAGACGCGAAAGCGUGGGGAGCAAACAGG